ACCCAGGAAACAAUGAAUAUGAAUAAUACAGAGGAACUUGGGAAGACUAAGUAGAACUAAUGCAGAAUUAAAAAAGCAGAACCAAGAAAAUAAUAUAAUGACUCUGCCAACGUACACAGAAUAAGAAAAUUAAACUGAAGUUGUCUCAUUGUGAAGGCCAGGUUUGGCCCCAGGGAAGAGUUGAGAAAAUGCAUUCCUUUCAUAUAAAGCACCAGCAUAGUGUCUAGCUCAUGGGAAAAGAGUCAGACUGGGUCCAUGAUUGAUUUCAGUGUUCAGGAGAAACAACUCUCUCGGCUAAGGUAUAUAAGAGACCCUUGGGAAAAAACAUAUUUACUGGUGGUACCUGGAUGAAGAUUCAGAAAAAGAUCUCUGAGGAGAUUUCAUAUGGAUUGGAGGAAAACCAGGAAAGAGUG
rnacentral:lncRNA from 1 species